ACUGAGCAUGGGUCAGCUGUUCCACAUCACACGGCCAACAUAGGCCACACACACACCACAAUGAGACAUCACCAACACAGAAAAAUAUGUUUUAGUUCUAGUUCAAUCCCAUCCUACAUCUAGCCUUUGGUUUGGAUCAUUUAACCCUCCAAAUUUUCUCUCAUUUCUACCCAACAUAUUCUAGAUUUAGCACUCAACUCCCUUCAAGGCUUAUAUUCAGCAGUCUUAGUCUAGUAUCAUUCCCAGUAAUAAAUCUUUAAAUUAAUUAUGUGAGUCUUCUAAGAGUUUCCUUCAACCUAACUUUAUUUGGUUCACUAUUCUCCAUCACCCUGAGCACCUUCCCUUAUUAUUCUUCCCCUCUAUAUGUUUGGUUUAUCAGGUUUUUAUCUCCAAUUUACUUUCAGAAUUUAUUUGGUUAAAUGUGCCUACCCAGAAUUCCUUCUCCCACUCUCGGUUGCUACCUAUCUUUUCCUCAACGACUUCUGUGUACUUUGAGAAUUUUCUUUUCCUCUUUUUUUUUGUUUUCCUUUCCUUUCCUGAACCAUUACUUGAUGAAACUCACCUCAUUAUCUUAGCCAUAUCUCACCAUAUUUAUGCAUGGAGUCUUAUUCUUCUUCAAACACUAACACACCUAUAUUUAACAUUUAUUUCGAAGAUAAGGACAUACACAUGUAUGUAUGCCCAUUUGUAAAUUCAUAUGAUGCUAUACCUUACUCUGUUUUCCAAAUUUCCAUUCCAAAUCUUCCUUAUGCGAUUUAAAUGAACUAACAUGCACUUUAAAGUCAAAUUCGUCGAAAAGGGCUGAAAUGAUCAUACCUCUUGCUCCUAACAACAAUGUUGAUCUAGUUGUUGUUUCCUUCAUUUCCUCUUCUUUCUCUUUGCCUUCCUCACCAUCCGUCAACAACCUCUCUCUCUCUCUUACACCCUGUUUAGAUAAAUUUUAGUGAUGGUUAAUUAAUGUAUGGUAAUGACAGUGAUUGAAAUGCACUAACACAGGAUGAGAAUGACAAAUGUUUUUUAUGUUUGGAUGAUUGAAUAUUAAUGCAUGUUAAUGACAUAUUUUUGUUUGGAUGAUAGGAUGAUACGGUUGUAUUUUUAGUUAAAUUACUAAUUUCCUACUACCUAUUAUAUGUAAUAGUAAAUUGU
rnacentral:lncRNA from 1 species